GACGAACGCUGGCGGCGUGCUUAACACAUGCAAGUCGAACGGAAAGGCCCUGCUUGCAGGGUGCUCGAGUGGCGAACGGGUGAGUAACACGUGGGUGAUCUGCCCCUUACUUUGGGAUAAGCCUGGGAAACUGGGUCUAAUACUGGAUAGGACCAUGCUGUAGGUGGUGUGGUGGAAAGAUUAGUUUCGGUAAGGGAUGAGCUCGCGGCCUAUCAGCUUGUUGGUGGGGUAAUGGCCUACCAAGGCGUCGACGGGUAGCCGGCCUGAGAGGGUGGACGGCCACAUUGGGACUGAGAUACGGCCCAGACUCCUACGGGAGGCAGCAGUGGGGAAUAUUGCACAAUGGGCGCAAGCCUGAUGCAGCGACGCCGCGUGGGGGAUGACGGCCUUCGGGUUGUAAACUCCUUUCAGUCAUGACUAAGCUCUUGUGGUGACGGUUGUGGUAGAAGAAGCACCGGCUAACUACGUGCCACCAGCCGCGGUAAUACGUAUGGUGCGAGCGUUGUCCGGAAUUACUGGGCGUAAAGAGCUCGUAGGUGGUCUGUCUCGUCUUUUGUGAAUGCCCGGGGGCUGAACUCCGUGUUGUGAUGUGAAUCUGGGAUGUACUGUGUUCUGUAGGUGAGACUUGAAUGUUUGGUUGUUGUUGUGUUCGCAGAUGCUCGAUGUACCUGCUGUGGCGUUGUGUGUUUUGAGUAGGAACUUGCAGUGACCUGCUGUAUGUGUGGAUGAAUAUG
rnacentral:rRNA from 1 species